GUACUUCCCUUUUCUUUCUUCUUGCAUUAUCUUUUCUCUUAUACUCUUUUUCUUUUUAAAUAUCUUUUCUUACACUCUCUUUCCUUCUAUUUAUCUUAUCUUUCUUUUACUUCCAUUCUCUUUCCUCUAACACAUCUUUUACCUAUAAUUUUUUUUCUUGGCAAAAGAACAUUAUAUUCUCUCGUUUAUCUUCUUCUAUUAUUACACAAAUUGUCUUUUUAAGUUCACCCAAUUUGAUAGAAAAAUUGAAUUCAUAUCUCUUUUUUCGUUUAUCAGUCUCCAAUGAGUUUAUAAAAAAUAUCUUACACAUUUGCGAGACACUUUUCUACUUAUAUGUAUGUUUUA
rnacentral:lncRNA from 1 species